rnacentral:rRNA from 1 species
UACGAAGGGGGCUAGCGUUGCUCGGAAUUACUGGGCGUAAAGCGCACGUAGGCGGAUUGUUAAGUCGGGGGUGAAAUCCUGGAGCUCAACUCCAGAACUGCCUUCGAUACUGGCGAUCUCGAGUUCGGGAGAGGUGAGUGGAACUGCGAGUGUAGAGGUGAAAUUCGUAGAUAUUCGCAAGAACACCAGUGGCGAAGGCGGCUCACUGGCACGAUACUGACGCUGAGGUGCGAAAGCGUGGGGAGCAAACAGG